UACGAAGGGGGCUAGCGUUGUUCGGAAUUACUGGGCGUAAAGCGCGCGCAGGCGGUCUUCCAAGUCAGUGGUGAAAGCCCGGAGCUCAACUUCGGAAUUGCCAUUGAAACUGUUAGACUUGAGGAUGAGAGAGGUGAGUGGAAUUCCCAGUGUAGAGGUGAAAUUCGUAGAUAUUGGGAAGAACACCGAUGGCGAAGGCAGCCAUCUGGACCGGAACUGACGCUGAGGAGCGAAAGCGUGGGGAGCAAACAGG
rnacentral:rRNA from 1 species